rnacentral:lncRNA from 1 species
CUGGUAAUAUUGGCGGAAAGCAGCUAAAUCGUUGAGGGCCUGUUUGGAUGAAAGAUACUUGAGAUUCUCAGUGGCCAAUGAGUUAAAAGGUGAGCUCUUGCCGUAGUAACGGUGCUCGAGUGAAACAACACCCGCUUCAAACUUCUUUGCUAACACCUGAAUUGCAUGUUUAAGAUGGAAAGCAAUGCAAAUUUAAGAUAUAAUCAAAUAUGUUAUGAGAAAAGAUUGAUCAAUCAAAAUCUUACACUUAUAUAGUCAUUGGGGAUUCCGUUACAAGGACCUUCGCCGCAGAUCAUCAAAAAGAUUGGACCGUCGGGAACCCGUAAAUGGUCGAGAUAUUCAUAAUACCGCUGUCUGAAUUGGCGAUGAUCCUGAGAUCAAAUUAUAAACAAUUCGCAUUGGUGAAUAAGAUUUCGCAGCGAAUUUGAAAUCAAACUACCAAAUCUAAAAAUAUCGAUUUCCCAAUUUUGAUAACUUGAGAACAACAUAAAUUGAAAUCAAGCAGGAAUCGAAAAUCAGGAAAGACUGAUUACAGAUGGAGAGUAGUGAUCCAGGGUUUGAUUGAACCAGAGCUCAUCCCUCGUCAAGUACUUGCUACCUUCGGACAAUCCAUGAGAAAUCCGACGAGGUUGCAGUAAUCCAUGGGACAAGCUUGAAUACGACAAUAGCGCCGUGAGGAUAAUGAGUAAACCAAACUUAAGCUGCUCCGACGACAUUUUUCGCCGUGAAUUUCUAUCCCCGGGUUACGUGAAAACCGAGUUUGCUGAUUGGCUAUACUAAAGCGGAUUUGUGUUCUGUUUCAACUUUCAAGAUACUGUAUCUUUUGUUUGCAUUUUCUUAAUAAUGAAGACUAGUUUACACACUAUCAUGAUACUGGCAAGACCCAGCCAGAUGAUCCACGCGUGUAACUGCUAUAUCAUGAUCAUGAGUCUCAACGGCUACGGUCCAUGCGUAUAACUGCUGUAUAAGUUUCGUAGAUAAAAGUUCGAAACAUUAUACAUCAUAGGUUACAAGUAUUGUACAAAGUUACAAGUUUGGAACAUGCAUCUGAUGCUUUAUUUAUCUGCAGAACCGCGGUACGUGCGACUUUACAUGGAACUCCUAAUCCCUCCGCGACACUCCGAGAGCCACAGAUCGAUGUGUUCUACUAUGUGUUGCCUUACUUUGUUUACUGCAUCUGGUGAACUGCAAUGCUUGGAAUCACCUGAAAAUAACAAAAAAGAGGGGACAUAGUAUUUUUUAACAGUUGUUUUAUUAGUUAUCUUUGACUUCAGGCAUUAGAAAGAGAGAAGAAGCUGUUAAUAUCUACCUUCGAUGACCAUUGGAGAUUGAGGGCAUCCACGAAGAUCACUUCCAUGGCCACAAUUGUGACAAGUCACGAUGUAAGAAGGCACUGUGCCAGUCAAGCAUUUGUUAGUGUCACAAAGAAAGUAUUUGUCUGAGUGCUACUUUACGACAUAGACUAAGCCUGAGUUAAUGGUGGGCGGUUCUGAUCAAACUAAAUGAAGACUUACGGUCAGGGGAUGACGUCUGUUUAGAUGCAUGGCGCCAUGGAUCCUGUGACCCAUUUGUGAAGAUAAUCUUGGUCCCUGCAAAAUUGAGAAUAAGAAGAAACUGUUGGGACGUGCAGAAGUGUAAAACAAGCAUCAAGAAGUUUUCCUUUAUUACAUAUUUACAUACCAGCAAUUCUAUCACUUCCAUAGUACAGGUUUGUUGCAUCGACUUCUGGAUAAACACCUUUCCCAAACAGACUCUUGCAUAGAUCCAAAUGAUACCUAUGAUAUUAGAAGAAACAUAAACGGGAUGAUAAAUAGAAACGAUAAGUACAAGUUAUGCAUAUAAACUUGGGACUGUGUGUACUUUGUAUUGAUUUGAUGAGAACGGAUGCUACUGUUUGCAGGUGCCACCUGGAAAUAUGCCACUUCAGUGCAAACUUGGAACCACCAAAGCCUAUCUGAACUCUCUGAAGAAACCGCAGUGUCUAGCAGAUGUUUACGGCUAUAUGAUUUAGAGCUUAGCCCGAAAACUCCCAUGCAAAAGUCUCUAACAUAUUUAGCAUAUGCUUCCUGUACUAACAGCCAAUAUAAUGUAUCAGCAAAUACAAAUCUUUUAGUUUGCAAAACGAGUUCUUUUGUUCUUCUAGGCUCUAGCAUAUAUAAUCGUGGAUCUAUAUAUACACCACGCAUAAGUAAAAAAAGAUCUAAAAGAAAAAGAACUUACCACUAAAUCACCACCAUUCUUGUUAGCUUCCACAAGUGGUACACAUAGUUUAUCUGGGUUCCCGUAUUGGAUCUGCCAAAAUCUUGUAGAUAAACAACUAAAACAAGAAAGAAAAAUUUAAAGCAUAUGUAACAUGAAAUGAACUUGCUUACCGCCAUAACUUGUGCAUCCGCUAUCAAGUAUAAGAAAUCAGCAUCAACAUUAAGCUGCAAAUUUCAAAAACUUAUAUCAGAUUGGAGACAGACUUCUUACUCAUAGUUGUUUGGGUUUACACAAAGGAGAAGAGAAACAACAAAGCUAGACCUCGGUGGCAUUGAAGAGAGCUUUCACAGCCUUGUUGUUUACUUUAAGCCCGAGUUCUAAGAGUUUAUUUGUCUCCUGUAGUGCAUCUUUGCAUUCCGGUCCAGCCGACUCACCUAUCUGCUCAAUAAAACACAAAAAUCCCGAUUCUAUCAGCAACAAAACUCUCAUAUGAAAAGACACAUCAUGUCCUCACUGAAAGUUUCAAUCUUGUAAUGAAUACCUGUUGAUCGAAUUCAGGGAAUUCGUAGACGGCACGAACAACUGCAGAACUAGCGAGGCUUCCACAAGUCAAAUGAGGGAACUUGAGUCGGAACCAAGCACUUAAAGCUCCAGAAUAAGAUGCUCCAAAGAAGAACCACGGAUUCUCGACACUGCUACUUCUAUUGAACUUAAUAUUCAAAGAGUCCUGCAUCCACAAUCAAAAUCCAAAAAACAUGCUCAUUGAAUCAUAGACCCAACCACCUCAAGUCUAGAGCAUAAAAACCACAAGACCACUUGCCUGAUAAUAUUGGCGGAAAGCAGCUAAAUCGUUGAGGGCCUGUUUCGAUGAAAGAUAUUUGAGAUUCUCAGUGGCCAAUGAGUUAAAAGGUGAGCUCUUGCCAUAGUAACGAUGUUCGAGAGAAACAACACCCGCUUCAAACUUCUUUGCUAACACCUGAAUUACAUGUUUAUGAUGGAAAGCAAUGCAAAUUUCAGAAAUAAUCAAAUAUGCUAUGAGAAAGAUUGAUCAAUCAAAAUCUUACACUUUUUUU